GCUGUGAGUGGUGCCAGCCUAGGAAUAAAGAACAUUUGAACAACACUCGAACAACUGAUUUUGCACAACUUGAUCAGCGACUGACGGUUGGCGUCAUCUUCUGAACACCUGAUGUGCUCUUUGGCAUGCUACAAACUCAGCAGAUGCACUGUCUUCUGGGCUUUACAGCUUCCUCUGAUGAAUGUACAACAUUUGGAACAAAGCCACUCUUAACACCUUCCCAUCCAUCUUGUAUUGUGAUUUCUCCUUUUUUUACAAGUUCAUAGAUGUCUCGUGUCAGAAUUGUAAAGGACUCUUCGACAUUUGUGGCAUCUUUUGCUGAGGUUUCUAUGUAUUUCAUACCACAGUCAGAUGACAGUUUUUCUGCUUCUUCUCUUGUAACCUCACGCUGUGACACUAAGUCACAUUUAUGUCCAACUAACAGAAAUACAAUCUGAAAGGGCUGCACGUGCAUUUUUGCUUCUUCCAGCCAGUCUUUCACAUGUUCAAAAGAUCGUCGAUUGGUGAUGUCGAAGACCAGCAAGCCGCCGACAGAAUUGCGAUAGUAAGAUCGUGUUAUUGAUCUGCAGAGAAAAGAACAAGGAACAGAAGAGGGAAAUUAAAAUACAUCUUCACUUCAUUUGGAAACAGGAUACUUUUCCACUGGGCAGUUUUGUUAAAUCUACUGUAAGUUUAUGAAAUAUCUUUGCUGUUUUUGAAAUUGAUUGGAAUUUAUUAACUUUUCCAUACUUAAAUGCUCAUUUUUCAUUUUUUCUUAUAUGCAAGUCACUUUCUAAACAUUCUUGAAGUCAGCAUUUUGGGUGCCAAUUUUGAAUGCUGAGUAUUCUGAAAACACUCUUUGUUAGCAAAGUGUUGCACGUGUUCACAAAAUAAUACUUACAUAUAUUUUGUCAAAUGCUUGUUAGCUUUAACCUCCGACUCAUCCAGUUUCACACAAACAUUCAUUUAUCUUCGUUCUAAUCGGUUAUUUCAAAAUAAAAUAUUUAGGCUAAUGUCCACAAACCUGAAUCCUUUUGUAUUCCUUAUGGACAAAUUGUUUGACCACAAGAACUGUACAGGUAAUCCCUGUUAUUUGUGCUUGCAGCGGUCAUCAGGUAACAUAUUAAGAAAGGAAAUUCCCCAGCAGCACUACACAAAAUUGGCUGAGCUGGGCACAAACUUUUUACAGCAUGGACAAAACAAAUUCUGCUUCCAGCAGAUCUUUCAUGUGAAGGUUGAAAAGCUCUUCAUUAAUUGCAUUUACUCUUUUUUUGGCAGGAAACUCCCAAGAAUAGUGAUGUUUUCUACUUUUCAGCUCACUCUGUUCCAGACCAUUCACUAGAAUUAAUUUUGGAAGGAGAUCCUUUCUCUGAAAAGAUUUUGAAUAUGUUCUAGAAGGGAAAAAAAAAAAAAAAAAAAAAAAAAGAUUUUAGGUGUCUAAUCACCUUAGGAAAAGGUGAGAAGAGACAUUUUAAAGAACAUGAUUGGCUACCUAGGACUGGACGCAAACAUUAGUUACAAUAACAUACAGCAAGGUGUAUGUGUACGUUUUUCCAACUGAAAUGGGACAGAAAAUCUAUAUGGACAGUCAUUUUUGAAAUAAUAAUAUAUUCAAGAAUGAACCAUUUUAUCAUAUGAUUACGGAGAGAGUGCAGCUCCAGAACAUUUUGAAUUGGGAUUAACUCUACACAACAAAUAUCUUCCAUUAAAGGAGCUCCCUCUGAUUUUCAGUUAAUCACAUCUCAUGCAGCGUUUUCUAACAGUUUGAACACUGAAGUAUAAUUAAGAGCAGUAGUCACAUUACAGAUAGGUAAGUGCACAGAUAAGGCUUAGAUUUCUCGACAUAACUUCAUUUAGUCACAGCAAACUGCAUUUGAAAUUGUUUUAUUUAGGUAAUAGGGAGGGUUUGUUUUCCAAAUAUUUCAGAAAGAUCUUUUCUGCAUUCCCAGCAACAGUCCAUGGAGCAGGUCUGCAAAGAGUCUGAAUGUGAACACAACACGAGCUUACCCUCAGAUUGAUUCCAACAGCCUGGAUAUGAAAAGUGACCAUAAAUAAAAGGUGUUGUAUUUUGUGAAGUAUUGAAUAAAGAUACCACAAAGAUCA